rnacentral:rRNA from 1 species
GGCAGCAGUAGGGAAUCUUCCGCAAUGGGCGAAAGCCUGACGGAGCAACGCCGCGUGAGUGAUGAAGGUCUUCGGAUCGUAAAGCUCUGUUGCCAAAGAAGAACGGCUUGGAGAGUAACUGCUCUAGGUUUGACGGUAUUUGAGAAGAAAGCCCCGGCUAACUACGUGCCAGCAGCCGCGGUAAU